rnacentral:rRNA from 1 species
UACGUAGGGGGCUAGCGUUGUCCGGAAUCAUUGGGCGUAAAGAGCGCGUAGGCGGCCAGAUAAGUCCGGUGUGAAAGUCAAAGGCUCAACCUUUGAAUGCCGCUGGAAACUGUCUGGCUAGAGUCCGGGAGGGGCGAGUGGAAUUCCUGGUGUAGCGGUGAAAUGCGCAGAUAUCAGGAGGAACACCAAUGGCGAAGGCAGCUCGCUGGGACGGUACUGACGCUGAGACGCGAAAGCGUGGGGAGCGAACAGG